rnacentral:tRNA from 1 species
GGCUCAAUGGUCUAGUCGUAUGAUUCGCGCUUCGGGUGCGCGAGGUCCCGAGUUCAAUUCUCGGUUGAGCCC